GACGAACGCUGGCGGCGUGCCUAAUACAUGCAAGUUGAGCGCUGAAGGUUGGUACUUGUACCGACUGGAUGAGCAGCGAACGGGUGAGUAACGCGUGGGGAAUCUGCCUUUGAGCGGGGGACAACAUUUGGAAACGAAUGCUAAUACCGCAUAAAAACUUUAAACACAAGUUUUAAGUUUGAAAGAUGCAAUUGCAUCACUCAAAGAUGAUCCCGCGUUGUAUUAGCUAGUUGGUGAGGUAAAGGCUCACCAAGGCGAUGAUACAUAGCCGACCUGAGAGGGUGAUCGGCCACAGUGGGACUGAGACACGGCCCAAAAUCCUACGGGAGGCAGCAGUAGGGAAUCUUCGGCAAUGGACGAAAGUCUGACCGAGCAACGCCGCGGGAGGGAAGAAGGGUGUCGGAUCGUAAAAAUCUGUUGGUAGAGAAGAAAGUUGGUGAGAGUGGAAAGCUCAUCAAGUGACGGUAACUACCCAGAAAGGGACGGCUAACUACGUG
rnacentral:rRNA from 1 species